rnacentral:rRNA from 1 species
GUCCACGCCGUAAACGAUUAGUACUAGCUGUAUGGGGUAUCGACUCCCUGUGUAGCGAAGCUAACGCGAUAAGUACUCCGCCUGGGGACUACGACCGCAAGGUUAAAACUCAAAGGAAUUGACGGGGGCCCGCACAAGCAGCGGAGCGUGCGGUUUAAUUCGAAGCUACGCGAAAAACCUUACCAGGGUUUGACAUGGCGUUGACCGCCGGUGAAAAUCGGCUUCCCUUCGGGGCGGCGUCACAGAUGCUGCAUGGCUGUCGU